rnacentral:lncRNA from 1 species
GGCAAAGGACAUCAACGACAUGUUCACAGAAGAAAGUUGACAUCACCCUAACCACGUAGAUCUCUGAUGUGCUCGGGCAGCUUCCCGGACCGCUCAUCACCAUUCCUCACGGCCAGGAUUGAGGGCGAACCGGCGGUGACAGUCCACUGGGUUGCUGUUCCUGAGUCUGCAGGCAGAGCCUGUAGAGAAGUCCAGACGGCCUUCUGGUGUGCCCAGUUGUCAGCCAUCACAAGAUGUCUGACCGUGACAACUGGUGCUAUGGAACAUAAUGACCACAACUAUUUGUAGGAAAAGUGGCCCAUGGAUGGUUACUCCAAGAUACACUUCAGCAGAUGCAGAGCGAACUUCGCGACUUUGUUCUGGGAGACUGUGCAGCACAGCACCAGGCAGCUGCACUUCGACUC